rnacentral:miRNA from 10 species
UGAGACCUCCAAAUUAUUCUAUAAGCAUUUAAUUUAUGUAUAAAUUUUAGGAGCUUACCUUGAUAUAAAUAAAUGCUGACUAACAUUGGAAGUCUAGCCUUUUCAGUAUUGACUUUUGGUAAUUCUGAUAUGUUGCUGCUGAU